GAAAUAGGAUAAUCAAAAAUAAGCUUCUAACUUAAUUUUUAAGCAGUGUGACUCUGUUUAUAUUUCU
rnacentral:tRNA from 1 species